GUGGGGAAUUUUGGACAAUGGGCGCAAGCCUGAUCCAGCAAUGCCGCGUGCAGGAAGAAGGCCUUCGGGUUGUAAACUGCUUUUGUACGGAACGAAACGGUCCGGGUUAAUACCCUGGGCUAAUGACGGUACCGUAAGAAUAAGCACCGGCUAACUACGUGCCAGCAGCCGCGGUAAUACGUAGGGUGCGAGCGUUAAUCGGAAUUACUGGGCGUAAAGCGUGCGCAGGCGGUUUUGUAAGACAGGCGUGAAAUCCCCGGGCUCAACCUGGGAAUUGCGCUUGUGACUGCAAGGCUGGAGUGCGGCAGAGGGGGAUGGAAUUCCGCGUGUAGCAGUGAAAUGCGUAGAUAUGCGGAGGAACACCGAUGGCGAAGGCAAUCCCCUGGGCCUGCACUGACGCUCAUGCACGAAAGCGUGGGGAGCAAACAGGAUUAGAUACCCGUGUAGUCC
rnacentral:rRNA from 1 species